rnacentral:rRNA from 1 species
GUGGGGAAUAUUGGACAAUGGGCGCAAGCCUGAUCCAGCCAUGCCGCGUGAGUGAUGAAGGCCCUAGGGUUGUAAAGCUCUUUCACCGGAGAAGAUAAUGACGGUAUCCGGAGAAGAAGCCCCGGCUAACUUCGUGCCAGCAGCCGCGGUAAUACGAAGGGGGCUAGCGUUGUUCGGAAUUACUGGGCGUAAAGCGCACGUAGACGGACAUUUAAGUCAGGGGUGAAAUCCCGGGGCUCAACCCCGGAACUGCCUUUGAUACUGGGUGUCUGGAGUAUGGAAGAGGUAAGUGGAAUUCCGAGUGUAGAGGUGAAAUUCGUAGAUAUUCGGAGGAACACCAGUGGCGAAGGCGGCUUACUGGUCCAUUACUGACGCUGAGGUGCGAAAGCGUGGGGAGCAAACAGGAUUAGAAACCCCUGUAGUCC